GGAUGCGAUCAUACCAGCACUAAAGCACCGGAUCCCAUCAGAACUCCGAAGUUAAGCGUGCUUGGGCGAGAGUAGUACUAGGAUGGGUGACCUCCUGAGAAGUCCUCGUGUUGCAUUCA
rnacentral:rRNA from 1 species